ACACACACACACACACACACACACACGAAUAGUAAUAGUGUCUAGUAUCUGCCUUAUUCUCAGCCUUAACAUGUCCUCUGACAUUUUCACACACAUCCCAGAGAUAAAUGAUUGACACAUGGCACAAAUGAAAAGGUUAUCCCGACUACUGAACCUUGCUCACUGUAAUAAGGACGGCAUCCCGCGCCUCCUCCUUGUUGGGGUUCUCGCUGCUGCUAGCAUUUGUAGUUUCUUCUGCUGUUAUGGCAAAAGAAUAAAUAACAUAAAGAAGUGAGCUGUAAUAUUGUGAGCAUUUGAAUAGCAGCCCUUGACUCUCACUUGUGGGAGCACAAAAGAAGAAUUGCAUUUUACGGUUGCUUGUUUAUCUAGACGGUCAGUCUCUCUGUUGUGUUAAAAGCCUUCCUGGAUUUGCUUUAUGGUUGAAGCUGUUGGGACUCAAUCAAUGACUCACAGUUGCUUGAGAGUUUUAUGGUGUGAUAUCCUGCUUCUGUGUAAUUAGAGCUCCUCUGGAUAUCUCUCACUUUCAAAUGUGUGUUAUCUUAGCAACUGUUUCAAGAUACCAGGAGAUGUGUUGCCAUGGGGUCUUUCGGGUUAGGAUGAAGAGAUGAAGGAUGUGGCGUGGACUAGGCAGCUGUAUAGAGAAAACUCAGAGGUGGUACCUGGUUUCCCAUGUGGGUCUAAGCAGUCUUGGAACCUCCAGGUUCCUGCCUCCUCCAAGCAGUGCCCUCCUGGGUGCCUGAGCUUGGUGAAAUAAACCUACACAUAUCUCUCUGUCACCUGCCUUUUGAGUCAUACUCUCAAGAUGAGUUAUAGUUUAGUUUUCCUAUCAAGAUGGUGGGAAAUGUCACCUUGAUGUUGACCACUGGAUGUGGUUACCAUAUACGAUGUACACAGCAAGAGUUGGUGUCAACUUCCUGUCCCCAUGAUUCCCAAGGGAGGCCAUGGCAGCUUAGAUUCAUUAUCCUUCAUGUUUUAGUUCAAUCUCUCUCUCUCUCUCUCUCUCUCUCUCUCUCUCUCUCUCUCCCUCCCUCCCUCUAGACCCCCUCCCCUCUUCUCCUCUCUCCUUCCCUAUGUUAUUUUUUGCCCACAGAAUAUAGAAAAGUAUAUUGACUUGGUAGUGGGGAGUGGCAGAGGGUGCCUUAACUUUUCCUGGCUCGGCUCCCCACUUACAUAGCUCCCUCAUGUGUUUGUUACUUUGUAGAUGUUUCCAUGUCUGCCCAACUUUUACCUUAAUCAUCAGCAAGGACCCUUUUACAUGUAGCAAAUGGGACUGUUUUAUAGACAUUUACAGUAGAGUAUAGGCCUUGGAGAAGUCUGAUGAUGGUGUGUAAUACCCUUUGCUGCAUUGUUGAACAUUUUUCUAAAGUCUUUUAGGUGAUAACUACAGAAGUAUUCCUAGAGUUAAGGAUUUCCUGGAAAAUUCCAGUAUUCGUGGAAGAAAGGAACCAACCUAUCGCUGUUUUCUGUUCUGUCUUCGGCACUGAUAGGCCCUCUCUCCACAUUUAGGAUGACUGGCGGCUACCGUAGUUCACACAAGGAUCUUACACAUGAGAAGGGGAAAGAAAGGAUUCACAUCACAAUAUUUUAAAGCCUGCUUCAUCUUUAACAAAUUCUGAAACACCGCUAGACUUAGGCUUAUCAUGUGGCGUAGUUUGAUCUGCAAAAUAUUGGGGAAAUAUUUUUACCUUUGGCCUCUUUCGUUGUGUAUUGUAGACUCUAAUUCCACACACAUGAAAGCUGUUUUAUCAGUGUAAAUUUUCAGAAGCUGGAUUAGAGUAAAAAUAGGAAAAUUUAAAUAUUCUUUCUCAUGUAAUGUAGUCUACUGAUCCAUGGAUAUAAUAAUUCCGGGAGAGAUUUUUUUUAGAUCACACUAUAAAAUUGAACCUUUGAUGGAUUUGCAGAGUGGCUUCCUCUUGCUAAAGCCAAAUUUGAUGAAUAGAAAGUGUAGGGUAACCCAAUGCUCGCUCGCCCCUCCUUCCUUCCUUCCUUCCUUCCUUCCUUCCUUCCUUCCUUCCUUCCUUCCUUCCUUCCUUCAUUUCUCUCUCUCUCUCUUUCUUCGUUCUCUCUCUCUCUUUCUUUCUUUCUCUCUCUCUUCUUUCCUUCCUUCCUUCCUUCCUUCCUUCCUUCCUUCCUUCCUUCCUUCCUUCUUUCCUUCCUUCCUUCCCUCCCUCUUUCUUUCUUUCUUUCUUUCUUUCUUUCUUUCUUUCUUUCUUUCUUUCUUUCUUUCUCAAAAAAAAAAUUCACAUAAAAUGCAGCAGGUAAGAAAAAUUGAUUUAAUCGGUAUUCUUUAUGGUGUGACUUGAAAAAAAAAUGGUGCCUAUCUGUUGGCUGACACAAACAAUGAUGUGCCCAAGGGAGGUCACUGGGAAAAUGUCUUUUCUUUCGUGUGUUCCUGAGUGGUGUGGCAGUGAGGAGAUUUAACCAAGUCUCAGUUUCUCUACCUCCCUUCCUUGGAGAAUAUUUGGAAACGUACCCUGUGAAUAAAAUGGCUUUUUUUUUUC
rnacentral:lncRNA from 1 species